GCCUGGCUGGCUCAGCUGGUAAAGCAUGUGACUCUUGGUCUCAAGGUCGUUCGUGAGUUCGAGCUCUACGUCAGGCG
rnacentral:tRNA from 1 species